GACGAACGCUGGCGGCGUGCUUAACACAUGCAAGUCGAACGGAAAGGCCCUGCUUUUGUUGGUUGCUCGAGUGGCGAACGGGUGUGUAACACGUGAGUAACCUGCCCUUGUCUUUGGGAUAACUUCUGGAAACUGGGGCUCAUACCGGAUAUGAGCUCCUGCUGCACGGUGGGCGUUGGAAAGUUUCGGCGGUUGGGUAUCGACUCGCGGCUUAUCCGCUUGUUGGUGGGGUAGUGGCUUACCAAGGCUUUGACGGCUAGCCGGCCUGGGAGGGUGACCGGCCACAUUGGGACUGAGAGACGGCGCAGACUGCUACGGGAGGCAGAAGGGGGGAAUAUUGCACAAUGGGCGGAAGCCUGAGGCAGCAACGCCGCGUGCGGGAUGACGGGCUUCGGGUUGUAAACAGAUGUCGCCGGUGACGAAGCGUGAGUGACGGUAAUGGGUAAAGAAGCACCGGCUAACUACGUG
rnacentral:rRNA from 1 species